rnacentral:rRNA from 1 species
UACGUAGGGUGCGAGCGUUGUCCGGAAUUAUUGGGCGUAAAGAGCUCGUAGGCGGUUUGUUGCGUCUAUCGUGAAAACCCGCAGCUCAACUGUGGGCUUGCAGCUGAUACGGGCAGGCUUGAGUUCGGUAGGGGAGACUGGAAUUCCUGGUGUAGCGGUGAAAUGCGUAGAUAUCAGAAGGAACGCCGGUGGCGAAAGCGACUCUCUGGCUCGUAUCUGACGCUGAAACGCGAAAGCUUGGGUAGCAAACGGG